rnacentral:piRNA from 1 species
UCCAACUGAGAUUUAUUAUCCUCUGGGAAU